rnacentral:snRNA from 1 species
GUGCUCGCUUCGGCAGCACAUACACUAAAAUUGGAACAAUACAGAAAAGAUUAGCAUGGCCCCUGCACAAAGGAUGACAAAUUCAUUCCUGGAAACAAGCAUUACCCUG